GAUCAUGGCUCAGAUUGAACGCUGGCGGCAGGCUUAACACAUGCAGGUCGAACGGUAACAUAAAGAAGCUUGCUUCUUUGAUGACGAGUGGCGGACGGGUGAGUAAUGCUUGGGAAUCUAGCUUAUGGAGGGGGAUAACUACGGGAAACUGUAGCUAAUACCGCGUAGAAUCGAGAGAUGAAAGUGUGGGACCUUCGGGCCACAUGCCAUAGGAUGAGCCCAAGUGGGAUUAGGUAGUUGG
rnacentral:rRNA from 1 species